rnacentral:misc_RNA from 1 species
AACGCAUAUUGCACUCUUCCGGUGCCCCCGGGGAGUAUGCCUGUUUCAGGCCGAGUAAUGGGCGCGAUUGAACGUGUUGCUUGUGGUGCAUGCAGGUUCGUGUUGGCGCGUUUUUUGGGCGUUGCCCCCCGGCGGGGGGCUGGCUCUGAAAGGAAAAUACCAGAGUUUUUUUUACUCGCAAGCGUGAUAGUUGGCUUCUGGGCCAUCUUUUUUCGCCGAAAGGGGGAAAACUCUGCGUUAUUAUUUAUUCGGCGCGCAGGAAAUCUUUUUUAAACAUCGGUCUGAAAUCAGGUAGGAUUACCCGCUGAACUUAA